rnacentral:rRNA from 1 species
AUUGAACGCUGGCGGCAGGCCUAACACAUGCAAGUCGAACGAGUGGCGGACGGGUGAGUAAUGUCUGGGAAACUGCCCGAUGGCGGGGGGUAACUACUGGAAACGGUAGCUAAUACCGCAUACCAUCGGAUGUGCCCAGAUGGGAUUAGCUUGUAGGUUAGGUAACGGCUCACCUAGGCGACGAUCCCUAGCUGGUCUGCGAGGAUGACCAGCCACACUGGAAGUGAGACACUGGCGAGACUCAGACGGGAGGCAGCAGUGGGGAAGAUGGCACAAGGGGCGCAAGCCGGAUGCAGCCAUGCCGGGUGGAUGAAGAAGGCCUGCGGGUUGUAAAGUACUUUCAGCGAGGAGGCGGUACCCGCAGAAGAAGCACCGGCUAACUCCGUGCCAGCAGCCGCGGGAAUACCUGUCGCUUAUAAUAC